rnacentral:rRNA from 1 species
GACGAACGCUGGCGGCGUGGAUUAGGCAUGCAAGUCGAACGGUAUCAUCCUUUCGGGGGUGAGAGAGUGGCGAACUGGUGAGUAACACGUAGGUUAUCUACCCUCAAGACGGGGACAACCCAGGGAAACUUGGGCUAAUACCGGAUGUGAGCAACUUUUAGUGUUUGAAAGGUGGCGUAAGCUGUCGCUUGGGGAUGAGCCUGCGUCCUAUUAGUUAGUUGGUGAGGUAACGGCUCACCUAGGCAAUGAUAGGUAGGCGGCCUUAACGGGUGGUCGCCCACACUGGGAUUGAGAUACGGCCCAGACUCCUACGGGAGGCAGCAGUCGAGAAUAGUCUACAAUGGUCGGAAGACUGAUAGUGCGACGCCGCGUGAACGAUGAAUCCCUUCGGGUGUAAAGUUCUUUUAUAUGUGAGCAGUGCUUCUUAUAUUAACAGUAUGGGGAGAGAGAUAUUAGCAUAUGAAUAAGCAACGGCUAACUCCGUGCCAGCAGCCGCGGUAAG